GUCCACGCCCUAAACGAUGUCAACUAGGUGUUGGGUGGGUAAAACCAUUUAGUACCGGAGCUAACGCGUGAAGUUGACCGCCUGGGGAGUACGGCCGCAAGGUUAAAACUCAAAGGAAUUGACGGGGACCCGCACAAGCGGUGGAUGAUGUGGAUUAAUUCGAUGCAACGCGAAAAACCUUACCUACCCUUGACAUGUCAGGAACUUGCCAGAGAUGGCUUGGUGCUCGAAAGAGAGCCUGAACACAGGUGCUGCAUGGCUGUCGU
rnacentral:rRNA from 1 species